rnacentral:rRNA from 1 species
ACAGGUGGUGCAUGGUUGUCGUCAGCUCGUGUCGUGAGAUGUUGGGUUAAGUCCCGCAACGAGCGCAACCCUCGUUCUAUGUUGCCAGCACGUAAUGGUGGGAACUCAUGGGAUACUGCCGGGGUCAACUCGGAGGAAGGUGGGGAUGACGUCAAAUCAUCAUGCCCCUUAUGUCUUGGGCUUCACGCAUGCUACAAUGGCCGGUACAAAGGGCUGCAAUACCGCGAGGUGGAGCGAAUCCCAAAAAGCCGGUCCCAGUUCGGAUUGAGGUCUGCAACUCGACCUCAUGAAGUCGGAGUCGCUAGUAAUCGCAGAUCAGCAACGCUGCGGUGAAUACGUUCCCGGGUCUUGUACACACCGCCCGUCAAGUCAUGAAAGUCGGUAACACCUGAAGCCGGUGGCCCAACCCUUGUGGAGGGAGNCGUCGAAGG